rnacentral:rRNA from 1 species
AGUGAACGCUGGCGGUAGGCCUAACACAUGCAAGUCGAACGGCAGCACAGUAAGAGCUUGCUCUUACGGGUGGCGAGUGGCGGACGGGUGAGGAAUACAUCGGAAUCUACUUUUUCGUGGGGGAUAACGUAGGGAAACUUACGCUAAUACCGCAUACGACCUACGGGUGAAAGCAGGGGAUCUUCGGACCUUGCGCGAUUGAAUGAGCCGAUGUCGGAUUAGCUAGUUGGCGGGGUAAAGGCCCGCCAAGGCGACGAUCCGUAGCUGGUCUGAGAGGAUAAUCAGCCACACUGGAACUGAGACACGGUCCAGACUCCUACGGGAGGCAGCAGUGGGGAAUAUUGGACAAUGGGCGCAAGCCUGAUCCAGCCAUACCGCGUGGGUGAAGAAGGCCUUCGGGUUGUAAAGCCCUUUUGUUGGGAAAGAAAAGCAGCAGGUUAAUACCCCGCUGUUCUGACGGUACCCAAAGAAUAAGCACCGGCUAACUUCGUG